GUGAGCUGGUGUGAGCAAACCCUGCGGAGCCUGGCAGCAUUGUGACUGCAGUUAGUAAUGAAACUAUUGCAGUAACCUAGUGGGUUUCAUCAAAACAAUUCCAUCACUUGAGGACUAUAUCUACAUUCAUAUGUAAAUGACUCAUUUUUGUAGGAGUGAAGAGGUUUUGAAGAGCCAUGGCAAAAGCUCCCAAGCCUGAACAGCAAGUGCAAAUAAUUUAGGAUUUCUACAGCUUGAAGGGGAAAAUGAACCAAACAGUUCCCAGUAUGAAAUGAAAUGUUUACUGACACAGCAAAAAUGCAUGUGAGGGUUUACUGACAUGGCAUGUAAAUGCACACCUGAAGAGACUGGAGUGAUCACCAAAAGGAGAAAAGAAUUAAUCUAAGGAAAAUGUCAGCCAAGAAAAUGCAUCGUCCCGAGUAAACCGGACAGCACGAGGUCACAUCUGUACAAGCACAGAUGGCUGAAGCUUUAAUGAGUGACCUGUCCUGCGAAGGAGAGGCAGGUUCUGAAUGGAAACAGGAGCGAGUCCCAGCAGGAUGCACAGACGUCACCCAAGGUGACUGUUCCAUUCAGAACUGUCUCGCUCGUGUUUGGAGAAGUGUUUCACUUACAUGAGCCACUGCUCCACCCCGGAGUCUCUCUUUCAGGAACUCCCUGGAGCACAUCACGGGCACCCACAUCCUUCCCCACGCCUGCAAUGCCCCUUCUGGCACCCCCUGCACCGCCAGGGCCACGUG